CGGCAAUGGAGGAAACUCUGACCGAGCAACGCCGCGUGAACGAUGAAGUAUUUCGGUACGUAAAGUUCUUUUAUUAGGGAAGAAUAAAUGAUGGAAAAAUCAUUCUGACGGUACCUAAUGAAUAAGCCCCGGCUAACUAUGUGCCAGCAGCCGCGGUAAUACAUAGGGGGCAAGCGUUAUCCGGAAUUAUUGGGCGUAAAGGGUGCGUAGGCGGUUAAAUAAGUUUAUGGUCUAAGUGCAAUGCUCAACAUUGUGAUGCUAUAAAAACUGUUUAGCUAGAGUAAGAUAGAGGCAAGUGGAAUUCCAUGUGUAGUGGUAAAAUGCGUAAAUAUAUGGAGGAACACCAGUAGCGAAGGCGGCUUGCUGGGUCUUUACUGACGCUGAGGCACGAAAGCGUGGGGAGCAAACAGGAUUAGAUACCCUGGUAGUCCACGCCGUAAACGAUGAGUACUAAACGUUGGGUAAAACCAGUGUUGAAGUUAACACAUUAAGUACUCCGCCUGAGUAGUACGUACGCAAGUAUGAAACUUAAAGGAAUUGACGGGACUCCGCACAAGCGGUGGAUCAUGUUGUUUAAUUCGAAGGUACCCGAAAAACCUCACCAGGUCUUGACAUGCUUCUGCAAAGCUGUAGAAACACAGUGGAGGUUAUCAGUUGCACAGGUGGUGCAUGGUUGUCGUCAGCUCGUGUCGUGAGAUGUUGGGUUAAGUCCCGCAACGAGCGCAACCCUUAUUGUUAGUUACCAGCACGUAAUGGUGGGGACUUUAGCAAGACUGCCAGUGAUAAAUUGGAGGAAGGUGGGGACGACGUCAAAUCAUCAUGCCCCUUAGACCGGGGCUACAAACGUGAUACAAUGGCUGUUACAAAGAGUAGCUGAA
rnacentral:rRNA from 1 species